UGCCCCCUACGGGGCGCAGCAGUCGAGAAUCAUUCACAAUGGGGGAAACCCUGAUGGUGCGACGCCGCGUGGGGGAAUGAAGGUCUUCGGAUUGUAAACCCCUGUCAUGUGGGAGCAAAUUAAAAAGAUAGUACCACAAGAGGAAGAGACGGCUAACUCUGUGCCAGCCGCCGCGGCAAUACAGAGGACUCAAGCGUUGUUCGGAAUCACUGGGCGUAAAGCGUGCGUAGGCUGUUUCGUAAGUCGCGUGUGAAAGUAGCGGG
rnacentral:rRNA from 1 species